GGCGGCACCCGGAUUUGAACUGGGGAAAAAGGAUUUGCGGCGGCAUGGCCGAGUGGUAAGGCGGGGGACUGC
rnacentral:tRNA from 1 species